GAGUGUGCGAUGGGACAGGGUUUAGGCAGGCUGGCGAGGUCCCGUAGGGUGCAGCUGACGCCCAUACCCCAAGCAGACGGCAAACAAUUUGCAGCGGCAGAGCAGAAGUGCAUGGCUGGUCGAACGCCGGAGUUACUGUACCGACAAGUUGCUGGCUGGCUGGAAGUUUGCUGAUGCGCUUUCCUCACGCUCCGGGCGCCCGGCCAGGCGAUAGCACCACACAGACACACCGC
rnacentral:lncRNA from 1 species